ACCACCAAUUCCACCACAACUAAAACAAAAUACAACUAAACUUGACUGAGUACUUCUACUACAAAAUAUCAUGUCUAUAUGCAAGCAUUACAUCAAUUAUAAACCCUUCUACAAAGUGCACAUCAAACAAAAUAUUAGACAAAGUGUUUAAUAAGCAUGAGUCCUCCAACUAUACAUUACAUAUUAUGAUACAUUUAAGAUCAUGUAUAAAUGACGGGUAACUACACUCGACUUUAGCAGGCUUUCCCAAGUAUCUCAAAUUUAGCAGUCUCCUGAUGGAAAAAACAUGAUAAAAUAUAUGAGCUUGUAACUCUGUGAUUGGAUAGUUUGCAAAUAAGUAUACUUUUCCCGUUUAUGCAUUUAUUCCAAAAAAUUUUGCAUUACUAAAACUUCUAAAAAUUCUGAAAUUUGGUAACACUUUUAAAACCAAAUAUGAAUGUAUCAUAAAAUUCUUUAUUUUUCAUUCUAGAUAAGCAACUGUAAGUUAUAAUAAAU
rnacentral:lncRNA from 1 species